rnacentral:rRNA from 1 species
GAUGAACGCUAGCUACAGGCUUAACACAUGCAAGUCGAGGGGAAACGAUAUUGGAAGCUUGCUUCCGAUAGGCGUCGACCGGCGCACGGGUGAGUAACGCGUAUCCAACCUGCCCACCACUUGGGGAUAACCUUGCGAAAGUAAGACUAAUACCCAAUGAUAUCUCUAGAAGACAUCUGAAGGAGAUUAAAGAUUUAUCGGUGAUGGAUGGGGAUGCGUCUGAUUAGCUUGUUGGCGGGGUAACGGCCCACCAAGGCGACGAUCAGUAGGGGUUCUGAGAGGAAGGUCCCCCACAUUGGAACUGAGACACGGUCCAAACUCCUACGGGAGGCAGCAGUGAGGAAUAUUGGUCAAUGGGCGAGAGCCUGAACCAGCCAAGUAGCGUGCAGGAUGACGGCCCUAUGGGUUGUAAACUGCUUUUAUAAGGGAAUAAAGUGAGCCUCGUGAGGCUUUUUGCAUGUACCUUAAGAAUAAGGACCGGCUAAUUCCGUGCCAGCCGCCGCCGUAA